rnacentral:tRNA from 1 species
CAGAAGCUGAGGGAUUUUAACCCCCGCUAAGGGCUUUGAAGGCCCUUGGUCUAGUGUUAACCUAAGCCUCU